GUACACGCUGUGACUAGCAUAUCAAUAAGCGGAGGAAAAGAAACUAACAAGGAUUCCCCUAGUAACGGCGAGUGAAGCGGGAAGAGCUCAAAUUUGAAAUCUUAAAGGGUUUCCCUUUACGAAUUGUAGUUUAAAGAAGUGUUUUCUGUUGAGGUUUCGGUAAAAGUUCUUUGGAAUAGGACAUCAUAGAGGGUGAGAAUCCCGUAUUUGACCUUUACUUUCAACUUUGUGAUACACUUUCAAAGAGUCGGAUUGUUUGGGAAUGCAGUCCAAAAUGGGUGGUAAAUUUCAUCUAAAGCUAAAUAUUGGCGAGAGACCGAUAGCGAACAAGUACCGUGAGGGAAAGAUGAAAAGAACUUUGAAAAGAGAGUUAAACAGUACGUGAAAUUGUCAAAAGGGAAGCGUUUGACACCAGUGUUGUUUUUCCUGAAAAUCAAUUAAAAAUUGAUUCAUGCCAGGUUGUAUUGACCUUAUCAGCUUGCAAUUUGGUUUUGGGUCUCUUUUUGAUGCACUUUUCGGUUAACAAGUCAACAUCAAUUUCCUUUGCUGUAAAAAGGUAAGAGGAAGGUGGCUUCAAUUUCGGUUGAAGUGUUUAUAGCCUUUUAUCUCUGCAGUCGGGGAGAUUGAGGUCUGCAGCGUAGAUCCUUCGGGGUUAGAUACAUUUAUGCUAAGUUAUAGCUUUUCAUAGACAACUUGUUGACUAUGUUUAGUCAUGUAGCUUACUCGUAAGUGCUAUUUUACCUACGCUUAGGAUGUUGAGCGCAUGUCUCUCUCU
rnacentral:rRNA from 1 species